UACGGAGGAUGCGAGCGUUAUCCGGAUUUAUUGGGUUUAAAGGGUGCGUAGGCGGGAUGCCAAGUCAGCGGUAAAAAUGCGGUGCUCAACGCCGUCGAGCCGUUGAAACUGGCGUUCUUGAGUGGGCGAGAAGUAUGCGGAAUGCGUGGUGUAGCGGUGAAAUGCAUAGAUAUCACGCAGAACUCCGAUUGCGAAGGCGGCAUACCGGCGCCCUACUGACGCUGAGGCACGAAAGCGUGGGUAUCGAACAGG
rnacentral:rRNA from 1 species